GGGGUUGUAGCUCAGUGGUGGAGCACUUGCCUCGCACGCUUGAGGCCCUGGGUUCCAUCCCCAGCACCACA
rnacentral:tRNA from 1 species